rnacentral:rRNA from 1 species
CCUACGGGAGGCUGCAGUGGGGAAUAUUGGACAAUGGGCGAAAGCCUGAUCCAGCCAUGCCGCGUGUGUGAAGAAGGCCUUCGGGUUGUAAAGCACUUUCAGUGGGGAAGAAAGCCUUGGGGCUAAUACCCUCGAGGAAGGACAUCACCCACAGAAGAAGCACCGGCUAACUCCGUGCCAGCAGCCGCGGUAAUACGGAGGGUGCGAGCGUUAAUCGGAAUUACUGGGCGUAAAGCGCGCGUAGGCGGUCUGAUAAGCCGGUUGUGAAAGCCCCGGGCUCAACCUGGGAACGGCAUCCGGAACCGUCAGGCUAGAGUGCAGGAGAGGAAGGUAGAAUUCCCGGUGUAGCGGUGAAAUGCGUAGAGAUCGGGAGGAAUACCAGUGGCGAAGGCGGCCUUCUGGACUGACACUGACGCUGAGGUGCGAAAGCGUGGGUAGCAAACAGGAUUAGAUACCCCGGUAGUC